UCCCUCAGUGUUGAAACAAUCUCUGCUGAACCAGAUUCUAAAAGUUCACUGGAGUUUGUUUCAACAUUGCAAGAA
rnacentral:pre_miRNA from 1 species